rnacentral:rRNA from 1 species
CCAUUCAAGGGAGGCGCAGGCGCGCAAUUACCCAAUCCUGACUCAGGGAGGUAGUGACAAGAAAUAACAAUAAACCGGCUUAUGCCGGUUUAAUUGGAAUGAGUACAAUUUAAACAUCUUAACGAGGAACAAUUGGAGGGCAAGUCUGGUGCCAGCAGCCGCGGUAAUUCCAGCUCCAAUAGCGUAUACUAAAGUUGUUGCAGUUAAAAAGCUCGUAGUUGGAUUUCUGUGGGGACGGAGCGGCCGGCCGCACAUCGCGGUUCGAGCUAGCGCUUUCCCUACAUCCUGCCGCGAACCGUGCUACCAUUAGUUUGGUGGCGCCGGGGAUCGGCUCGAUUACUUUGAGAAAAAUAGAGUGUUCAAAGCAGGCCACAUGCCUUGAAUAAGUUAGCAUGGAAUAAUAACUAAGGACUUCGGUUCUAUUUUGUUGGUGUUCGGGACUGAAGUAAUGAUUGAUAGGGACAGUUGGGGCGGUCUGUAUUCCAAAGCGAGAGGUGAAAUUCUUAGACCUUCGGAAGACAAACAGCUGCGAAAGCGUUCCGCAAGGAUGUUCCCUUUGAUCAAGAACGAAAGUUGGGGGAUCGAAGACGAUCAGAUACCGUCGUAGUCUCAACUAUAAACUAUACCAGCUAGGGAUCGGCCAACGUUAUUUUAUACCGACUUGGUCGGCACCUUAUGAGAAAUCAAAGCAUCUGGGUUCCGGGGGGAGUAUGGUCGCAAGGCUGAAACUUAAAGGAAUUGACGGAAGGGCACCACCAGCCGUGGAGCCUGUGGCUUAAUUUGACUCAACACGGGAAAACUUACCAGGUCCAGACAUAGUAAGGAUUGACAGAUUGAUAGCUCUUUCUUGAUUCUGUGGGUGGUGGUGCAUGGCCGUUCUUAGUUGGUGGAGUGAUUUGUCUGGUUAAUUCCGUUAACGAACGAGACCCCAGCCUGCUAAAUAGCGCGCGUGAGCUUUGCUCGCGGCGAGCUUCUUAGAGGGACUAUGAUGCGCGAUAGCACAUGGAAGUUUGGGGCAAUAACAGGUCUGUGAUGCCCUUAGAUGUUCUGGGCCGCACACGGGCUACACUGGCGCCUGCAACGAGCAUAUCAGCUGGCCCGAGAGGGUCUUGGCUAAUCUUUUGAACCGGCGCCGUGCUUGGGAUUGACCUUUGCAAUUGUUGGUCAUGCAACGAGGAAUGCCUUGUAAACGCGAGUCAUCAGCUCGCAUUGAAUACGUCCCUGCCCUUUGUACACACCGCCCGUCGCUCCUACCGAUGAAUGUUCCGAUGAAAUUUUCGGAGAGCACCUGUGAACUUGGCUCCGCCUUGCGAACGGGAGGCUCAAAGUCACAUAAAUCUGAACCUUCAGG